rnacentral:lncRNA from 1 species
AAACAUUCCGACGCCGAUGUGCGGUUUAACUCUCCUCCCAUCAGACUGAAGUCGUCACAAUCAGCCCAUCUGGGAAUCCUCAGAUCGUAGUAGUCGUCAGUCGAUUGCUCAGCAAAUUUCAAGCGGAGCCUUCAGUGGUUUCGCUGCUGGACUGUUGCUCGCGCUAUUCUCGCAGACCGCCAUCAUUCUCGUCGGCCUGCUUGCGCUUUCCCUCCACAUUCUCGCUCGUCGGGGCGUCAAUAUACCGCACCUGUCAGACCUGCGUCAGAGUAGAUGGGUUGGUCACCUUAACUUUGCCAUUGCGGCGGCUGACCGCCCACCCAUGGUUCGCCAGCUCAUUUACCCUGGCAUUCUCA